rnacentral:lncRNA from 1 species
UUUUCACAACUCUCCUGUAUUUUCACUCAAACGAAUCUGCAGAUUUCAAAGUCAUUUCUGAACUUCUGCAAUGUUGAACUUUCUGUUUAACUCUUCUGCAUUAGGCUCUUGUCUGAAAUCAGUACUUUCUGAAUAACUUGUUUAAAAUACUUCAAUUUCUGACAAUUGGAUCCGAGUUGCCUAAUGCGGGCAUUUAAUCUAAUUAUAUGUGUUAAACUAAGUCUUUCCGCCAUUUAAGAUUUAAUUUAAAGACCAAAUCAGUAUAUGUAAGGCAUGCUAAGCUAAGUGUUAUCUGAUUUACGGGAUUAAUGUGAGCCUUGCAUUACUUGUUGUUGACACCCCUUACUGGCUAUUUGUUUUGUUUGUCUCUAGUUUUACGUAAUUCUAUGUGUUUAACUAAGUCCGUCCGCCGCUUAAGUUUUAAUGUAAAGACCAAAUCAGUAUGCGUAAGGCAUGCUAAGCUAAGUGUUAUCUAAUUAGCGGUGUUAAUGUGAGUGUUGCAUUACUUGUUGCUGACACCCCCUACUUGCAAUUUUUCUUUGUUUGUCGCUAUUGGUAUAUUACCCUUUUAAACCCCAUCUAUGCCUUGACCCCUUUUAUUCCACUUUAGGAUUAGGAGUCCUAAAUACCUCGGGACUGAUAGAUUGGGACGGGUAAUAGCAUACAAUAAGUAAAGGAGACUAAUUGUGUUAAAUACCUUAAUGGGGUGGGAAGGGUAGAAUAUAGAUAUGAUGAUCAGUACGCUAAUAUCACGUGCGACCCCUCUCUGAGGGAGUGUGCGCCGGGUAUUGCAUCGAGGUGAUCCAUAUUUUGUAUAAACC